rnacentral:rRNA from 1 species
ACGAACGCUGGCGGCGUGCCUAAUACAUGCAAGUUGCGCGAUGAAGAUUGGUGCUUGCACCAAUUUGAAGAGCAGCGAACGGGUGAGUAACGCGUGGGGAAUCUGCCUUUGAGCGGGGGACAACAUUUGGAAACGAAUGCUAAUACCGCAUAAUAACUUUAAACAUAAGUUUUAAGUUUGAAAGAUGCAAUUGCAUCACUCAAAGAUGAUCCCGCGUUGUAUUAGCUAGUUGGUGAGGUAAAGGCUCACCAAGGCGAUGAUACAUAGCCGACCUGAGAGGGUGAUCGGCCACAUUGGGACUGAGACACGGCCCAAACUCCUACGGGAGGCAGCAGUAGGGAAUCUUCGGCAAUGGACGAAAGUCUGACCGAGCAACGCCGCGUGAGUGAAGAAGGUCUUCGGAUCGUAAAACUCUGUUGGUAGAGAAGAACGUUGGUGAGAGUGGAAAGCUCAUCAAGUGACGGUAACUACCCAGAAAGGGACGGCUAACUACGUG